UUGACCUCAGAUCAGGUAGGGAUACCCGCUGAACUUAA
rnacentral:rRNA from 1 species